UUCUUUUCACUAAUCAAUGGAUGCAGUUUGAGAUUUGCCCUUGGUGACUGUUUAAGAUGACUUGUGUUUCAUGAAUUUUACUACUUUGGUCUUUUCUUGUGUGUGUGUGUUUCUUUUUCCAAAACUUCUAUGUUAUGUUUGACUUAAAACUGUGUGCUGCAAGUUUUAGAUUCAUACAUGUGCUUAAGUUUUGAAAACUAGCCAUUUUUUACUGAGAAUAUUAAUUAUAAAACAAGCUCAAGAAGAACUUCCUUUCCAUUUUUUCAAAGUUUUUGAAUUGUUUUUCCAAAUUACUAUCAAAGGAGCAGCUUAUUGUAUUAUUUACACUAAAAACCCACAUUCAUGGCCAGGGUGCUGAAAGAAAAUGCCAAAGACCGUGCCUGGAAGUAAAACAUGAUGGUUAAUAUCAUAGGUGUAUUAAAACAUUUUUAAAAAGGCUAAGAGUGUGGAAGCUCGAUGAGAGGCUUGGGAAUGCUAGGUCAUAAUCUUCAUCGGAAUCUGAGUGUACUAAGGUGGUGGAAGAAGUGGAACCGUACAAGUCCGUGCGGUGAGCUUGGAGGCAGCCAGGUGGGCGACUGGGACUGCUUGGAUGACCGAAGAAAUCAGUGAAAGUCAUCGGGGUGUUGAUCUGCAGUCUGAAUUUGUUAGUCCUUUAUUGGCAGUUUGGGUCAGGGAUUCUCAGUUGGAUGUUUGACAGCUACUGGUGGAUGUCGAGGCAUUGAACUUGGUUGACUGUGCUACAGGAAUCUGUGUUGAUUGAGUCUUCGGUGAAUUCUUCUUGGU